UCAUUUGACAUUGUUGAACUGUCCGCAAAAUCACAAAGUCGCAAAGUCACAUCUAGUGACAGCAGAAUUGGAAUUUAUGAUUUAGAAGUCUAUCUAUACUGCAGAUGAACGAAAACUCUGUUGCAGCAAACCCAUCAUAAAAAUAGCAUGAUAUCAUUCACCGUGCAAUACGUCCCACGCAUAACGACCUGAUUAAUCAAUACGGCUUAUCAAGAUUAUGGCCGAGAAAUAUUUAUUUGACAAAAAACAAAUCAGAAAAAGUAAAGUCUAGAUAAAAGAUAAAUGUAUUUAACCUAAUAAUAAGCCAUUGUUUUCAAUCAAGAUCCAGGGGGUGCAUGAGAGUGGGUCGUACGAAGGUUUCUAAUAGCAAGCGAGAGAAAACACAUUUGUCUUGUCCGGGACCGUUAACGUAUAUUACGUGGAGCCGAGACAUCGCCUGCUGCGUGGCCCGUAACUCAGUUUCACUGUGUUAAGUGCUGAGUUUUUCACGGUUCACUGAAAAUUAGCUACAUCAAGCAAUCUCCGCUUAACUCAUUUGAUUUUCCUUUUGCUAAAUGGUUUUAUAGAUAAUUAUUGAUUUACAUGGAAACCGCAUGAGUAGUACCACUAUCCUGCCCUGCCCAUAUCUGGCGCGAAGCAGGAAUGUGUUCCAGUUUGAAGAGAAAGGACAGCCUCUAUACUAUAGAAUUGAAACUUAGACCUCAAGUCUCAAGACGGGUGACGCAAACCUCGUAGUGAUGUCUAAGAGACACGAUACAAGCAAAUCUUCAAAUUGGCCUAGCAGGUGAUCUUAGUUCAAGCAAACCGGACCGAGUUUGACUAAUAAACUUUAAAAUAACGCAAAGUAAAAUGUUACUACAGCCUCUUAUUAACUUGGCCUUCUCUGAUUUGUUUUUGUAUGAAUAACUUUAAACAUAUAAAUAAAAGGAAACAAUACUACGUUA